rnacentral:lncRNA from 10 species
AAUAAAAAUAAAAAAUUAGCUGGGUGUGGUGCUGUACGCCUGUGGUCUCAGCUAUUUGGGAGGCUAAGAUGGGAGGAUCACUUGAGUCCAGGAAGUUGAGACUGCAGUGAGCUGUGAUCACACCACUGCACUCCGCCUGGGUGAGUGAGACCCUGUCUCUACAAAAAUACAUAUAUACAUACAUACAUACAUACAUACAUACAUCAAGCUUCAGUUUCCUCAUCUGUAAAACAGGGAUUAAACAGUACCUGCUUAGUAGGCUACAAGGACUCAAUGAGUUAACAUGUAAAACACUUAGCAUGGGAUGUAAAACCAGAAUGCAUUUAAUGAAUGUUAGCCAUUAUUUUAUAUAUAUAUAUAUAUAUAUAUAUAUAUAGAGAGAGAGAGAGAGAGAGAGAGAGAGAGAGAGAGAGAGAGAGAGAGAGAGAGAGAGAUGGAGUCUCGCUCUGUUGCCCAGGCUGGAGUGCAGUGGCGUGAUCUCAGCUCACUGCAAGCUCCGCCUUCCGGGUUCACGCCAUUCUCUUGCCUCAGCCUUCUGAGUGGCUGGGACUACAGGCACCCGCCACCACGCCCGGCUAAUUUUUCGCAUUUUUAGUAGAGGCGGGGUUUCACUGUGUUGGCCAGGAUGGUCUCCAUCUCCUGACCCCGUGAUCCGCCUGCCUCGGCCUCCCAAAGUGCUGGGAUUACAGGCGUGAGCCACUGCACCCGGCCUAUAAUAAAUAUUUUUAAAUACAAAAAAUGCGGCUGGGUGUGGUGGAUCAUGCCUGUAAUCCCAGCACUUUGGGAGGCCGAGGCAGGCAGAUCACUUGAGAUCAGGAGUUUGAGACCAGCCUGGCCAACAUGGUGAAACCCCAUCUCUACUAGAAAUACAAAAAUUAGCCGGGCUUGGUGGCGCGCACCUGUAGUCCCAGCUACUCGGAAGGCUGAGGCAGGAGAAUCGCUUGAACCUGGAAGGCAGAGGUUACAGUGAGCUGAGAUUGUGCCAUUGCACUCCAGCCUGGGUGACAAGAGCAAAACUUGGUCUCAAAAAACAAAAUAAAACAAAAAAAAAAUCAUAACAGUGUGCACUUAUUGGCCAAACUCUUUAUGAUAACAAGACAUAAUUUGAUCACAGGACACAUCUAAGAGAGUCUGUUUUACCUUCAAGGGAUACAAAGAUGAGUGGAACAUAUAGUUUCCACCUUAGGAAGUCUAGCUGAGGAAUUAAGGUGUAAAUUUACUGACAGUUUGAAUAACCAGGAUGUUGUAUAGGGAUAUAAAGCCAGAACACCACUGGACACAAUGGCUUAUGCCUGUAAUUCCAGCACUUUGGGAGG